AUAACCCUAACACCUUCAUUUGAUCAGCCGCACAUACUGAAUCCUGUUCUUUGUUUGCUUUGAUUACACAUAUAAACCACUCAUAUACAAGUUCUAAUCUUUCCAAUACACACAAAAAUCCAUCUCAUCUCCUUCACCUACUUCAAACCCAACUUAUCCACACCUCACGAUCACCCCCUCCCACUCUCGAUUAUCGGCCGACCACCACCAUUUUUGGUGGUGGCGGAUUUGAGCAGCGACAACCACAACACCACAGGCGGCGGCGCCGUGGUGGGUGGUGCUAGGCGGCGAAGACGGAGAGACAAAGAGUGAGAGAAGGCUGCACAGCGGCGACUGACGUCUCCGACGACAACAUCGACGGUAGCCACAAUGUUCCCGGCGGGGGUGGGGUACGACGGUGGUCGACAGCGGCAUAUAGCCACCGGAAUUAACGACAGUCGGGGGGGGGGGGGGGGGUGCGGCACGUCACUCGCGGCGGCAGUGGAAGGGAUUCCAUUGGAUUCAUGUCAAAUUUUGGUUCGGGCCGUAUUUCAGUUUAAGUUAUAGAUCUGUUCGGUUCCGGGUGUAAGCGGGUCAGUCCAGCAAGUUCGGUUCAGUCACGAAGUGAUUCGGGUUAUUUUGGUUUGGUCAACAGAAGUCAAACCUGGUCAAUGUGUCGGGUCAGCGGCUCAGUCAAACCGGGUUAGGUUUCGGGUCAACAUAAGUCAACGGGUUCAGGUCAAGCGGCUACGGUCAAACUCAGUUACGGGUCAGCAUACUCGGUCAAACCGAGUCAACUCAGUCAACAACGGUCAAACAAGUCAACGCCCGGUUAACACAAAGGACCCGGUAAAGUUUUAAGCGUAGCGAAUUAGUUACGUUAGAUUUUAUAUAGUUAAACGCGUAACCGAGCUCGACCGAUACUUUUAGCGUUUAUUUACGGUUUAUUUUGUCGCAAAUUUAUUAUAUAUUGUUUGAAUCAAUUGAAUCAUUGUUGAUUUUUGACAAAA